UACGUAGGUGGCAAGCGUUGUCCGGAUUUACUGGGCGUAAAGGGCGCGUAGGCGGGAUGGCAAGUCGGUCGUGAAAUCCCUCGGCUCAACUGAGGAUCGUCGAUCGAUACUGCCGUUCUUGAGGAUUGCAGAGGAGACUGGAAUUCCCGGUGUAGCGGUGAAAUGUGUAGAGAUCGGGAGGAACACCGGUGGCGAAGGCGGGUCUCUGGGCAAUUCCUGACGCUGAGGCGCGAAAGCGUGGGGAGCAAACGGG
rnacentral:rRNA from 1 species